rnacentral:rRNA from 1 species
YWCUMACACUAUAAUUUACUUGAUCUUGACAAAUCCUACUUGGAUAACUGUGGUAAUUCUAGAGCUAAUACAUGCACCAAAGCUCUGACCUUACGGGAAGAGUGCAUUUAUUAGAACAAAACCAGGCGGCCUUCGGGUCGUUUUUUGUUGACUCAGAAUAACUAAGCUGAUCGCAUGGUCUCGUACCGGCGACGUGUCUUUCAAGUGUCUGCCUUAUCAACUUUCGAUGGUAGUGUAUGUGACUACCAUGGUUGUGACGGGUAACGGAGGAUAAGGGUUUGACUCCGGAGAAGGGGCCUGAGAAAUGGCCACUACGUCUAAGGAUGGCAGCAGGCGCGCAAAUUACCCACUCUCAGAAUGAGGAGGUAGUGACGAGAAAUAACGAGACCGUUCUCUUAGAGGCCGGUCAUCGGAAUGGGUACAAUCUAAACCCUUUAACGAGUAUCUAUGAGAGGGCAAGUCUGGUGCCAGCAGCCGCGGUAAUUCCAGCUCUCAAAAUGCAUAGAAUUAUUGCUGCGGUUAAAAAGCUCGUAGUUGGAUCUGUGCCGCAGGACUCGGUCCGCCUUCGGGCGCGCACUGAGCUCCUCGGCUUUUCUGCUGGUUUUCCCGUUAUGGUCUUAACCGGCCGUAGCGGGUGGCUGGCGAUUUUACUUUGAACAAAUCAGAGUGCUCAACACAGGCGUUUCGCUUGAAUGUUCUUGCAUGGAAUAAUAGAAGAGGAUUUCGGUCCUAUUUUAUUGGUUUUAUAGGCUGAAAUAAUGGUUAAUAGAGACAAACGGGGGCAUUCGUAUCGCUGCGUGAGAGGUGAAAUUCUUGGACCGCAGCGAGACGAACUACAGCGAAAGCAUUUGCCAAGAAUGUCUCAUAAUCAGACGAAWCG